rnacentral:sRNA from 1 species
ACUAACUAAAAUAAUGGGAGGUUUUCCCUCCCUCUCGAUUGCUGCUCAGCACGGACAGACUAUAUGCCAGGUGGUCGUUCCCCACCUGGCCUGAAAACCGCAAAUCGCUGUGCAACAAUCUUCGAGGGUAGCGCUGCUACCCUUUUUUUUCUGGAGUAG